UACGUAGGUGGCAAGCGUUGUCCGGAUUUACUGGGCGUAAAGAGCGCGCAGGCGGUCGUUCAAGUCGCGUGUGAAAGCCCCCGGCUCAACUGGGGAGGGUCACGCGAUACUGAUCGACUCGAAGGCAGGAGAGGGAAGUGGAAUUCCCGGUGUAGUGGUGAAAUGCGUAGAUAUCGGAAGGAACAUCAGUGGCGAAAGCGACUUCCUGGACCAAUACUGACGCUCAUGUGCGAAAGCGUGGGGAGCAAACAGG
rnacentral:rRNA from 1 species